UACGAAGGGUGCAAGCGUUACUCGGAAUUACUGGGCGUAAAGCGUGCGUAGGUGGUUUCUUAAGUCUGCUGUGAAAGCCCCGGGCUCAACCUGGGAAUUGCAGUGGAUACUGGGGAGCUGGAGUGCGGUAGAGGGUAGUGGAAUUCCCGGUGUAGCGGUGAAAUGCGUAGAGAUCGGGAGGAACACCAGUGGCGAAGGCGGCUACCUGGACCAGCACUGACACUGAGGCACGAAAGCGUGGGGAUCAAACAGG
rnacentral:rRNA from 1 species